UAUAUACUCUGUGCAAAUUUGUAGAUCAAAUUUUCUGUCUCGACUCUCGUUGCAGCUGACAGUUCUUUAAGUCAUCUCUUUUUCGGCGAGCGUCGUUGGUUGAAGCUCGCCAUCAUGGUGAACAACCGUGUACCGUCGGUCUUUUCGAAGACUUAUGUCACGCCGCGUCGUCCUUUCGAGAAGGCGCGUCUCGACCAGGAAUUAAAAAUCAUCGGUGAAUAUGGUCUUCGUAACAAACGUGAAGUUUGGAGGGUCAAGUACACGCUCGCCCGCAUCCGUAAAGCUGCCCGUGAGCUGCUGACAUUGGAGGAGAAAGACCCCAAAAGGCUUUUCGAAGGCAAUGCACUCUUACGUCGUCUGGUGAGGAUCGGAGUAUUGGAUGAGAAACAGAUGAAGCUCGAUUAUGUGCUCGGUCUCAAGAUUGAGGACUUCUUGGAGCGUCGUCUUCAAACACAAGUCUUCAAAGCUGGUUUAGCUAAAUCUAUCCAUCAUGCUCGUAUUUUGAUCAGACAGAGACAUAUUCGGUAAGAAAAGGCAGCACGGCCGUGUGAUGCCGAUUUUGUGAAUAAAUUCUAAUAGACCACUUGAUCUUACUUUGUUGAGAUCAAUGUCUUGAAAUUGUUAAGCUCGAUUUGAGUGAGACCAGCGUCCGUAAGCAAGUUGUGAACAUCCCAUCAUUCAUCGUCCGUCUGGACUCUGGCAAGCACAUUGACUUCUCUCUGAAGUCGCCCUUCGGCGGCGGCAGACCCGGCCGCGUCAAGAGGAAGAACCUUCGCAAGGGCCAGGGUGGUGGUGCCACUAAUGACGAGGAGGAAGAUUAGACCAAUAUAGUCACAUUUAUGCCUUA